UGCUACUCCAAGAGCUAUGGAGAUGACACAGGAGCAUAUUGUAGGGGCUUCGAUGAAUCCUCAACAUAGAAAGAUGCUGCGAUCUCCUAUUUCUAGUCUUGAUUUUACAUCAUCUGAGCAGUUGUCAUCUUCUCCACAAGAAGGAACUCAGUCAGAUAUCCCUCCAACUGAUCCUCUAUGUGAUUGAUGCUUGGUUAUGAACUUAUUAGAUGUAGUCUUAUGUUUAAU
rnacentral:lncRNA from 1 species